ACUCUAGGGACGGUCGGUUAGUAGCACUUUUUGUUGUUUCAAUCAUUUUGUCAAAAAUAGAGAAUCGAAUGUUUGAGUUCAGCUUCAUGUUAAUGAAAGAAGAACUUAGCAACAAAUUAUUUACAGUGGUGACCAUGAUGGAGAGAAAGGAAAAGAUAGCUAAUGGAUGGGCAGUACAAGGAUAUAUGGUGUGGAUUGUAGGCAUCACAUAGGACUGUAUCAGCAUCACCUCCACAGAUUCAAGGCCCUACGAAAUGUCGGUACAAUGAUUACCCUACAUGUUCCUGGAGAAGUGUGUGGGAAAAGGGUAAUUCUACAGGUACAUCCCUAAGAUGGUUAUAGAUUUUACACCCUUAUUUUAGAGUUCACAAUAUUUAAUAUAUUUUUAAUAUUUUAAGAAAAAAAAAAUUUGACAAGAUACAGAAGUCUUAUUAGUCAUGGAUUAUAGGAAUGUAAAUCUUACAUCCCUUAUUGUUGAUCUCACUGCUCGUCAACCAUGAAUCAUAGUACGAGGCACGAGGUUACAACAAAUGUGCUCCCUAUU